ACUUGCGGAAGGAUCAUUACCGCCUGACGAGUGCCCUGGCACGCACCGCGAACCCGUGGACCGAGGUCGGGGGUCGYUCCGUCGAGAGCGUUUCCAGGACGAGAGCCGCCGCCUCGGUGGACUCUCGCCGCCCCCGCGUUCCAUCACCAAUAACACCUGUACUGCAGAACUUAAACCRAAACCUAAAAACGAACACAACUCUUAACGGUGGAUCUCUUGGCUCGCGCAUCGAUGAAGAACGCAKCCAGCUGCGAUAAGUAKUGUGAAUUGCAKAAUUCAKUGAAUCAUCGAAUCUUUGAACGCAAAUGGMGCUCCCUCUUCUGGGAGCACGUCUGUAUGAGCGUCGGUUUACGAGACACUCGCGCCCCCCAUCGCAAGGGCGCGGACUCGGAGGACGUCGCGGCCUCCAACACUCUGGCCUCGUCCCUCCAGGUGCAGCGCGACCCGUCCCCGCGGGAAGGCCAACACUUUGCCCUCUCCCCCAASGACGGGCAGCUCCAUAACCAAACCACGACCUCAGAUCAGGCGAGACUACCCGCCGAAUUUAAGCAUAUCAAUAAGCGGAGGAAAAGAAACUAACAAGGAUUCC
rnacentral:rRNA from 1 species